rnacentral:rRNA from 1 species
GGCGUAAGCGCGCGCAGGUGGUUUCUUAAGUCUGAUGUGAAAGCCCACGGCUCAACCGUGGAGGGUCAUUGGAAACUGGGAGACUUGAGUGCAGAAGAGGAAAGUGGAAUUCCAUGUGUAGCGGUGAAAUGCGUAGAGAUAUGGAGGAACACCAGUGGCGAAGGCGACUUUCUGGUCUGUAACUGACACUGAGGCGCGAAAGCGUGGGGAGCAAACAGGAUUAUAUACCCUGGUACUCCACGCCGUAAACGAUGAGUGCUAAGUGUUAGAGGGUUUCCGCCCUUUAGUGCUGAAGUUAACGCAUUAAGCACUCCGCCUGGGGAGUACGGCCGCAAGGCUGAAACUCAAAGGAAUUGACGGGGGCCCGCACAAGCGGUGGAGCAUGUGGUUUAUUUC